rnacentral:pre_miRNA from 1 species
CCCUUACCCUCUCCCCGCCAGCGGGGAGAGGGGGGCGUUGAUGCUGGGGCCAUCCCCCUUCUCCCCGCUUGCGGGGAGAAGGUGAAGC